UGGACAAUAUUUAAUAACAUGUAGUUUAUAAGCAUUUUUAUCAAUAUCUAUGGUUUAUAAAAUAAAGAAAUAAUAAUGUAUUCUCCAUUCGAUAUUUCUAUCUUGACGGAUGAUGUCACAGUACAAUAUUCCUUCACACUCGGGUUCUCAUAAUUUCUGGGUGAGACCACCUCUAUUAUUGACAUACCUCGGUACUUACCAACUUUUCUGGCAGUAUUUUGCUCAUU